UUCCGGUUGAUCCCGCCGGACCUGACUGCUAUCGGAUUGAUACUAAGCCAUGUGAGUCAUUGUAGUAAUACAAGGCAGACGGCUCAGUAACACGUAGUCAAUCUACCCUAUGGACGGGGAUAACCUCGGGAAACUGAGAAUAACACCCGAUAGAUCAUAAUGCCUGGAACGGUUUAUGGUCCAAAUGAUUCGUCGCCGUAGGAUGGGACUGCGGCCUAUCAGCUUGUUGGUGAGGUAAUGGCCCACCAAGGCUAUUACAGGUACGGGCUCUGAGAGGAGAAGCCCGGAGAUGGGUACUGAGACACGGACCCAGGCCCUAUGGGGCGCAGCAGGCGAGAAAACUUUGCAAUGUGCGCAAGCACGACAAGGUUAAUCCGAGUGUUUCCUGCUAAAGGAAUCUUUUGUUAGUUGUAAAACCACUAACGAAUAAGGGGUGGGCAAGUUCUGGUGUCAGCCGCCGCGGUAAAACCAGCACCUCAAGUGGUCAGGAGGAUUAUUGGGCCUAAAGCAUCCGUAGCCUGUUCUAUAAGUUUCCGGUUAAAUCCAUUAGCUCAACUAAUGGGCCGCCGAAAAUACUGUAGAACUAGGGAGUGGGAGAGGUAGACGGUAUUCGGUAGGAAGGGGUAAAAUCCUUUGAUCUAUUGAGGACCACCUGUGGCGAAGGCGGUCUACCAGAACACGUUCGACGGUGAGGGAUGAAAGCUGGGGGAGCAAACCGGAUUAGAUACCCGGGUAGUCCCAGCUGUAAACGAUGCAGACUCGGUGAUGCGCUGGCUUGUGGCCAGUGCAGUGCCGCAGGA
rnacentral:rRNA from 1 species